rnacentral:rRNA from 1 species
GACGAACGCUGGCGGCGUGCCUAAUACAUGCAAGUAGAACGCUGAAGAGAGGAGCUUGCUCUUCUUGGAUGAGUUGCGAAAGGGUGAGUAACGCGUAGGUAACCUGCCUGGUAGCGGGGGAUAACUAUUGGAAACGAUAGCUAAUACCGCAUAAAAUGGAUUAUCGCAUGAUAAUCCAUUGAAAGGUGCAAAUGCAUCACUACCAGAUGGACCUGCGUUGUAUUAGCUAGUUGGUGGGGUAACGGCUCACCAAGGCGACGAUACAUAGCCGACCUGAGAGGGUGAUCGGCCACACUGGGACUGAGACACGGCCCAGACUCCUACGGGAGGCAGCAGUAGGGAAUCUUCGGCAAUGGACGGAAGUCUGACCGAGCAACGCCGCGUGAGUGAAGAAGGUUUUCGGAUCGUAAAGCUCUGUUGUAAGAGAAGAACGAGUGUGAGAGUGGAAAGUUCACACUGUGACGGUAUCUUACCAGAAAGGGACGGCUAACUACGUG